GAUGAACGCUGGCGGCGUGCUUAACACAUGCAAGUCGAACGGAAAGGCUCCUGCUUGCAGGGGUACUCGAGUGGCGAACGGGUGAGUAACACGUGGGUGAUCUGCCCUGCACUUCGGGAUAAGCCUGGGAAACUGGGUCUAAUACCGGAUAGGACCACAUUUUGGAUGGCGUGGUGGAAAGAUUUUCGGUGUGGGAUGAGCUCGCGGCCUAUCAGCUUGUUGGUGGGGUAAUGGCCUACCAAGGCGUCGACGGGUAGCCGGCCUGAGAGGGUGUACGGCCACAUUGGGACUGAGAUACGGCCCAGACUCCUACGGGAGGCAGCAGUGGGGAAUAUUGCACAAUGGGCGGAAGCCUGAUGCAGCGACGCCGCGUGGGGGAUGACGGCCUUCGGGUUGUAAACUGCUUUCGCUAGGGACGAAGCGCAAGUGACGGUACCUGGAGAAGAAGCACCGGCUAACUACGUG
rnacentral:rRNA from 1 species